rnacentral:sRNA from 1 species
UGUUUGCACUUAGCGGGAAGGGUAAGAACCUUCGACUAAGGUUCGACUCGAGCGCCAGCGAGAGAACGU